CCUACGGUGGGCAGCAGUGAGGAAUAUUGGUCAAUGGGCGCGAGCCUGAACCAGCCAAGUAGCGUGAAGGAUGACUGCCCUACGGGUUGUAAACUUCUUUUAUAAAGGAAUAAAGUGAGGCACGUGUGCCUUUUUGUAUGUACUUUAUGAAUAAGGAUCGGCUAAAUCCGUGCCCGCAGCCGCGGUAAUACGGAGGAUCCGAGGGUUAUCCGGAUUUAUUGGGGUUAAAGGGAGCGUAGAUGGGUUUAUAAGUCAGGUGUGAAAGUUUGCGGCUCAACCGUAAAAUUGCAAUUGAUACUGGCAGUCUUGAGUACAGUUGAGGUAGGCGGAAUUCGUGGUGUAGCGGUGAAAUGCUUAGAUAUCACGAAGAACUCCGAUUGCGAAGGCAGCUUACUAAACUGCCACUGACAUUGAUGCUCGAAAGUGUGGGUAUCAAACAGGAUUAGAUACCCGAGUAGUC
rnacentral:rRNA from 1 species